UUUCAGAGUCGUGGCUGAAUGAGGACACGGAUAUAUAUCGUGCUGGUUUUUCUACGCAUCUUCAAGACCGGACAGCGAACUCGGAUAAUAUCCAUAACUGGUGCUACAUGCUGGACUCUUUGUCGAUGAUUGUUCACAACGCAAGAAGAGUACUGUUACAGUGGUGCUGUGACCGUUCUUCUAGAUCAUCCUUCGCUGGGCUUCCAUUCCAGAAGUUUGCUGUGGUUUCCAUUGGAGAAUCAGAUAAGAGUUUGCUAGUGCAGUUUGACCUGUAUCUCAUUUCGCUCCAGGAGGGCACCAGUGCCUUAUAUUUCUCAGUACUGAAGUGUUUUGAUGAUUUUUGCUAUUGAGACACUUGCUAUAUUCAUUGGGACUUCACUGAUAAGUCAUAUAAUCUUCAUUGGAUUUGUUUAUUUACAAUUCUAAUGUAUAUAUUAUAUAACUAGGGUGGGUUUUUAUCAGUGUAGUUGAGAUUUUUGGUAACACUUUACUUAACACCCAGCAUCAUAACACAUUAUGACACAGGGAUAACCAUAAUUAUGAUAUAACUUGUCAUAAUAUGGUCAGAACACUGUCAUGACUCAUUUACACCUGUUGUGACAUACUGUACCGGUCAAAUGUUUGGACACACCAACUCAUUCAAGGGUUCUUCUUCAUUUUUACUAUUUUCUACAUUGUAGAAUAAUAUUAAAGACAAACUAUGAAAUAACACACAACACAAAACCUGGAUGGUAAAUUGCUAAGGUUGGUAGCGAAAUACAUUGUGACUCCUGUUUGUCACACCUUCAAUUUUAGCCAAGAACAAGACAUGGAGGGAGGCAAAGGUCAUUCUGCUUCCCAAGAAUAGCAGAGCACUCUUUAAUGGUUAAGUUAUUUUACAGAAAACAAAUUAACAACAGACACACAUAGCCCCCGGUCUCAAGAAUCCCUAGAUAAUUUGUUUUAUUGGGUGUGCUCACCUAGUCUAUAGUUGUUAGGAUAAUUGCCGUAAGGGAAAUACUACUGUUAGUAAAGUACCAUGGAUAAGGUCGUUAAUACUGUGAAGGUAAAAAAAAAAUGCAUUGUGCUUUUGUCAGUAUUUGUAUUUAUUAUGGAUCCCCGUUAGCUGCUGCCAAAGCAGCAGCUACUCUUCCUUGGGGUCAGAAAAAUUAAGGCAGUUUAUACCAUUUUAAAAACAUUACAAUACAUUCACAGAUUUCACAACACACCUUAGGCCCCUACUCCACCACUACCACCUAUCUAGAGUACUAAAUCCAUGUGUAUGUAUUGUGCUUAUGUUAUCGUGUGUGUGCAUGUGUCUUUGCCAAUGUUAGUCUUGCUUCACAGUCCUCGCCGUUCCAUAAGGUGUUGCGAUGUUAUAUAAUGUUUAGAUUAGUGUAUUAUAUCAUCCACACCCAAUAGCCAACUCUAGUGCACUAUAUACCCUGUAAAGGGGUUACUGUAAAUUUGACAGUUUACAGGCAGCUCGGUGGAAAGUAAAAUUAUUUAUUUCAUAUUACAGUACACCCAUUGUAAUAUAAAUAUGGUAUCAAAGCAAGUACUGUGUAAUAACAUGCAGUACCAUACCAUAACAUUGGCUGUAUUAUACUGUAAGAACGUACAUUGUACCGUAAUCCAAAUAGAUGGAUGAAUUAAAUGAAUGGAUUAAUUAAAUUCAUUGAA